CAAGUACUCCCUCCAUCCGGAAUUUCUUGUCAUCAAAAUGGAUGUGUCUAGAACUAAAAUACAUCUAGAUACAUCCAUUUCAAUGAUAAGUAUUUUCGGACGGAGGGAGUACAAG
rfam:Triticum aestivum genome assembly, contig: Triticum_aestivum_CS42_TGACv1_scaffold_513301_6BS